rnacentral:rRNA from 1 species
GACGAACGCUGGCGGCGUGCUUAACACAUGCAAGUCGAAGGAGAGGGCGGACGGGUGAGUAACACGUGGGCAACCUGGCUCAUAGAGGGGGAUAACAGAGAGAAAUUUCUGCUAAUCCCGCAUACUAUGAGAUGGACCCGCGUCUGAUUAGCCAGGUGGCAGGGUAAGAGCGUACCAAAGCGACGAUCAGUAGCCGAUAUGAGAGGAUGAACGCCCACAUUUGGACUGGGACACGGCCCGAACUCCUACGGGAGGGAGCAGUGGGGGAUACUGCAAAAUGGGGUGAACGCUGAUGCACCGACGCCGCGUGAGUGAAGAAGUAGUUCAGUAUGUAAAGCUCUAUCAGAAGGGAAGCAGUACCUGAAUAAGAAGCCCCGGCUAACUACGUGCCAGCAGCCGCGGUAAUAC